rnacentral:lncRNA from 1 species
CCUUGUGUAGCAGGUACACGGCUAGUGAAAGUGUAGUAUAUUCUGCUGCUGACCGAAGUGCGAAUCACGUGACAUAUGUUGGGCGUGAACUCAUGUUCAUUCAGUAGGCAGUUCGUAAAGCAUGAGGAAAGAAACAAAUUGUGACAAAGCGAAGCGAGGAAGGACACAAAGCGGGAAAGGAAGGCUGAUGAGUCUAUGAUUGGUGGUCUGCAGCUUCUUCAUAACCCAAGUUUAUUCUGAUGUGUGCCAUCAUUCCAGUUGACUCUGUGAACUUACAGCAGCUGUCAGAAUGGGAACCAGAACUAACCUCGAGAUUAGUUUGGACAGAAUCUGUAUGCGAGUUUUCUAGAAAUGCUAACCAAUGCUAAUCAUGUGAAGCUUGUUGGGAGUGCAUGUUCAUUCAGCAAACAGUCGGAAAAGGCAAAAAGCAAGGAAGUAAGGCUUGAAAGCAGAGAUUUUCAUUAUUACCAUGCAUGGAAACUGAAAUGAUGACGGUCAUGGUUUAGAGAUCCAGACAUUGUUCCCAUGGUGAUGUGAAAUUGUGCGAAGUGUUGUGUAUGUGUCCCGCCGUCACUCUACUAGCUAGACCACUACUGCAUGGAUCUUCAGCAUCAAUUAGAACUAUGAUGACACUAAGGAAAUAUUCUACUAUCUUCACCAUGGUUACGGUUGAAUUGUAAUUCCCACAUAGCAAUUGCUGUACAGUGUAAAGCCAGCAUGUAUGUUAUUCUAAGAAAGUGACGAGGUGUGUCAAGGCGGAAGCUGUGCAGCUGGACAGGAUGAGAGUGGUUCUAUUCCAAUGGCUGUAAGCACGAAAUCACGUGGCCUUGUGCUGGAGACAUCAUUCUAUGAAUCAAUCAACCACGUGUAUACCUCUAAUUUAAACUCCUGAAAAUCCCAAUGGUUGUGACCUAGCAGACAGAAUGUGAGCCAGGAAGUUACUUCUGUAAAAGCCCAGAUAUUCCAUAAUAUGUGGGAGUAUCUUCAUUCUUCAAUUGCGUUUUAGCAAAGAUAUUAUCUGUGACCUGCUUUUCAGUGAGUCAUCGAUGAUCAACUAGGUAGUAGGACACAGUUCUCUGAUCAGAUGGAACCACUUUACAAGCUGGAAUUUAAACAGCUGAGACUACCAUCAGGAAAAUCCUUCAUGUGGUAACACUAACCCAGAACAUUGCUACUGAGUCUACCACACAGUAACACUGACCCAGAGCAUUGCUACCGAGUCUACCACACAGUAAUGCUGACUAGGACUGUUACAACUGAGUAGUCCACACAGAAAAAACGCAUAGUAAUGCAGACUUAGGAUGAUGCUACUGAUUCUUCCAUGCAAUAACACUGACCCCAAAGUGUUGUUUUUCUUUCGUCUUGAAAAUGCAGACAGACGGCAGGAGUUACCUUUCAAUAAGCACAAUAAACUCUUUACUGUCUGUUAAUGUUAACAUUCCUAGGAUUUGCUGAACACUGGAAAGAAAGCUGACAUAAACAUGCAACUCACUGUAUGUGACAUUAUUACAAAACUCAUUCAAAUGUGACAAUGAAAGAUAGACAUUAAACUUCUUUUAAAUAACAUUUAAGUAAUGCUUAAAUGUGGUAGUGAAGACUCACUGAAUGUGACAUUAAAGUUCAGAUAACAGUGAAAGAAAGACAGUACUGUUGUACUAAAUAGUAAAAUUCAAAUGUGACCAUAUAAUAUUAGAUUAAAAUCAUGUUUGAAAGUGACAGGUAGGUACAUUAAAAUGGAGAUAGUGUUUUGAUUGUUAAGUAUGAAAUAAUAAAGUGUAACUGAUUG